rnacentral:lncRNA from 1 species
CACAUUUUUCUGUAGAGAACAGGGAGUUAUCUGAUGUCAUUGAGCUAAUCAGCAUAUGACAACGUGGCAGCAGGGUGCCCUCUGGACUGGGGUCAGAUGAUCCGGAGACAGAGAUAGCAGACCACCGUUAGGGGCCAGGAGGGGAAGAGAGGUGAUUGCCGGAGCUCUAACGGUGUCCAUGAGAACAUCAAGGAAAAGACCGCAGUCAAGACUGUGCGCAGGAAGCAGGGCACGGAUUUCACGGCUGGUAGAAUGUGCCAGGCAGGGUGGAGGGCGAAGACAAGAAGACCUCAGAGCUGCAGAACCGGAGGACUACGUUCAUACGAUUACUGAGCGCAAGCUGUGUUCCCAGGUUCCUGGUCCCCUCCCUUAGGAAGCUCACCAUCUGGUGAGAGGAAGAUAACACUGCACUGUAACUAGCGUGCAGAGGGCACUUGUGCAGUCCAGAUGAGCGGGCCUAACGAGGACUUCACAGGACGGGUACCCAGCUCUGCUUGGAAGAGAGGGGCAGACAGGAGUGUAUUCCAAGUAGAAGUUGCAUUUUGGCACUCUGGGGGAAAGCACGCAAUUCAACAAAAAGAUAUAAAAAGAGAAGACGCUGAGAAAGAACUCUCCAGGAGAAGGAGUCAAAGAUCUUGUAGUGCUGAGGAGAUCAAAAGGAGAGAAGCUCUCGAGAAGGAAGUGCCGUGUCUAAUCCCACAGAAAGUGUGGGGACGCAGCAAGAAGAUUGCCGUCUGCAAACUGCUGGAACUGACAUUUCCAGGUGUAGAUGGCCUCCAUUACAGCGGCUGCUGCUCUCGGGGUGGCAGUAUGAUGAAAUGGGAAGAGCCCCAGCCUUGGAAUCAGACAGACUUGUGCCUGAGGCCCAGCUCCACCACUUGCUAGCCUGGUGACCUUGGUGUCUCAAGAAAGGAAAAAUCUCUCUCAAACUGAAGAGGCUGUGACUGUGUACCUGCUUUGCUCCUCAAUCUCCAGCUUCCCCAAAUAGGGUGGGGCUGGCUCAAAAAGCAGUGGAGACAAAGUUCUGGAGAUGAGUGGCAGUGACAGCUGUACAACAACAUGCAUGUACUUCAUGCCUCAGAGAGGUACACUUGAAAAUGGUUAAAAGGGUAAACUUUACGUUAUGUCCAUUUUAUACCCCCCACCCACCCCCCAAAACUAAGCAGUGGAG